rnacentral:tRNA from 1 species
AUCCCUGUAGCACAAUGAAUAGCAUGUUGGACUUCUAAUCCAAAGGUCAUGGGUUCGAAUCCCACCUGGGAUG